rnacentral:rRNA from 1 species
GCAUAUCAAUAAGCGGAGGAAAAGAAACCAACAGGGAUUGCCUCAGUAACGGCGAGUGAAGCGGCAAAAGCUCAAAUUUGAAAUCUGACACCUCUGGUGUUCGAGUUGUAAUUUGGAGAGGCAACUUCAGGUAGAAUCCAGCCUAUGUUCCUUGGAACAGGAGGUCAUAGAGGGUGAGAAUCCCGUUUGUGGCUGGAUGUUUCUACUAGUACGUAGCGCCUUCUACGAGUCGAGUUGUUUGGGAAUGCAGCUCAAAAUGGGUGGUAAAUUUCAUCUAAAGCUAAAUAUUGGCGAGAGACCGAUAGCGCACAAGUAGAGUGAUCGAAAGAUGAAAAGCACUUUGAAAAUAGAGUCAAAAAGUACGUGAAAUUGUUGAAAGGGAAGCGCUUGAGACCAGACUCAGCCUUUGGCAAACAAUAGUCCUUUAGGAUUGUGCACUUGUCUUGGGCUGGGCCAGCAUCAGUUAGGAUGGUAGGAGAAAGGUUGGGAAAAUGUGACUCCAAUUUGGAGUGUUAUAGAUUCCAGCGUCAUGCUAUCUAUCCUGACUGUGGACCGCGCUUUGGCUAGGAUGCUGGCAUAAUGGUCUUCAGCGGCCCGUCUUGAAACACGGACAACGGAGUC